GACGAACGCUGGCGGCGUGCUUAACACAUGCGAGUCGAACGGAAAGGCCCUGCUUUUGUGGGGUGCUCGAGUGGCGAACGGGUGAGUAACACGUGAGUAACCUGCCCUUGACUUUGGGAUAACUUCAGGAAACUGGGGCUAAUACCGGAUAGGAGCUCCUGCUGCAUGGUGGGGGUUGGAAAGUUUCGGCGGUUGGGGAUGGACUCGCGGCUUAUCAGCUUGUUGGUUGGGUAGUGGCUUACCAAGGCUUUGACGGGUAGCCGGCCUGGGAGGGUGACCGGCCACAUUGGGCCUGAGAUACGGCCCAGCCUCCUCCGGGAGGCAGCAGUGGGGAAUAUUGCACAAUGGGCGGAAGCCUGAUGCAGCAACGCCGCGUGCGGGAUGACGGCCUUCGGGUUGUAAUCCGCUUUCGCCUGUGACGAAGCGUGAGUGACGGUAAUGGGUAAAGAAGCACCGGCUAACUACGUG
rnacentral:rRNA from 1 species